UUCUGUUAAUCAGUGUUCAUCUGUGUUAGUAUUUAGUUCCUUCAGUUCAGUCAGUCUUUGGCCGUUCUACUUUGUAGUCUUGUUUAGUGUGUGUACAUCCUGCCUAAGUCCAACAAACCGACAGUUUGUUGGACUUAGCAACAGUAACUAAGGAGGGUGGGGCUACGGUUGAUGGUGAACAGUUAAUAGUGAAAUUUGAAAUUGUAUUAUUUUAAUACAUAUUAUUUGCAAUAUUCCGUUUCCAAAUCAAUCCUUCUGUUUAUUAGGUGAUCCCCUAGUAGCCAUAUAGGUGGACAACCUGUUUUCAAAUCCAAAAAGUCAAAAUAUUUCUACAAAGUCCACUGACUGAGAUGCAACAAGUUCCCUGUGUAAACAGAUUCACUCUUUCAGUAGAUAUACAGUUCAAAAGCUCUGUAUGUGGUUCAUUUCCUUCCGUUACAAGUACAAAUACACACAGACAUGCAGGGUUAUGCAGAAAAACAGCCAGUGGAGUGUGAAUGUAUUACUUUGAGAUUUGUCUGUGAAAUAAAUGUACAUUCACGCACAGCUGCCUUUUUCUUAUCUUGUCAUUGUGUUUGCAGUGUUGACUCUCUCCUAUUUGGAUUUCACAAUAUGCUGUAAAUGAAUACCUUUAAAAUGUUACCUGGCAUGAAAGGGACCGACAGCAAUACCAGCUAGUUUGCAGCAUUCCAGAAAUACUCAAAUGGCCUUCGUGCAUUUAUUCUGAUAAAUGAUGCCCAAACAUCACUGUCCCACACUGAACUGACAUUUACCUCAUUUUAAUUGGCAUCAAGUGUCCCCGUAAGAGUAAAGGACAGAAAAAGAGGACACAGUGUCCUGCUGUGUUGUAGAUAUGUGCCAAUCUAAAUGUAUUAGCUCAUUUUCUGGAACUGUAGUGAGGACAAUAAUCAGUCUGGUAAAGUACACACACACACGCACGCACGCAUGCACGCACGCACCCAUACCCACACCCACACACACACACACACACACUGAGGAUCAUGAAGAUUUUCAUCUGAAGCGUGUCUUCACCAUAUGCUCCUCCCUAUGAUAUCGUGUGUGUGCGUGUAUGUCUUGGCUUCGCUCUCACAUCCCUCUUCUGACUUGAACGGAGAUGUUUCAAAAUCGUAUUGCAGACUCCAGUGCAGAGAAAGUUCGCCUGCUGGGAUCGAUCUCCGGACGGGUGUUAUUGGAUUUCUCAGAUGUGUUCCAACGCUCUUAAAGGUCACCACUAGAAUGAAUGCCACCGACACUACACCACCAAACAGGUCUAUCUGUAUGUUUGUGGACGUCAGACGCAGAUUAAGAGAGACGGGUACAGAAAGCAGCUUAGUUUUUUGGUAACUGUUUUAUUUGUACAGCUAAAUUCAUACAACCUGAGCCCCUGUUAUCAGAGCACAAGAACAUUGCAGGGGAUCAGAUUUUUGGUCAUCUCUUCAGCAACAGUGAGCACCACUUUGGUACCAUUUAAAGGUUCAGUGUGUAAGUUUUAGUGGCAUCUAGCGGUGAGGGUAAUCAGCGAUUCACGGUGCAUUCACAUGCUCCUCAGAUGGUUCCAUUUCCCGAGUUGUGAAGUUAUUCUUCCGACUUCAGUGUGUGUUCAUGUGCUAUUAAGUCGGAAUGUGGAAUCAACAUGGACGCUACUACAAAGAUUUGUUGGAUUAGCAAUGCCAUUAGUUCACUCUACAUGGACAGCAAACUAACCGUUAUAACCAUAUUACAAAUUGCAUGUUUUGCAAAUAUGUACAGUAUAUGCAAUACGUGAUUUUGCCCGAAUUAAAGUUCUGAAUACUUCUUUUUGUUCCAUGUACACUUUAUUUCUCUUUUUGCAAUAAAGAUUUAAGAAGGAAAAAAACAUGCUCUGUAGAGCUGUUUGUACGUUUAGGCUACUGUAGAAACAUGGCAGUGCAACAUGGUGCCUUCCAUGUAAGGGGACCCGCGGUGAAUGUAGAUAGAAAUGGCUAAUUCUAAGGUAAUAAAAACAUAAGGGUUCAUUAUGUAAAGUCUUUAAACACCUCUAAAAACAUAGUUAUGGAUAUUAUUUUGUAUUAUUGUCAAUAGAUCCUCCUAAAUAUUAAACACUGAACAUUUAAGGCCAGGGUUCUCGCAAGUUUUGAAAGCAUCCAACUCCUUUUGUGGAGUUGUUAAAAAGAUUUUAAAGACAUUUAGAAUGCAACACUUGUAAUGUGUUGGGUAGGGUUGACAGAGUUCCAGUUAUUCUUAUAUUAUUACUUCCUGUGAAUGUACUGUAUCACUCUGUUCAUGGGGUUGCUGGAAUUUCUACCCAUUUGUGGAUGAUUAUUGAAAAAAUUCUUACUUUCAAUUUUAUAUUCCUCCGUAUUUCUUAGAUUACUGGUAGUAAAACAAUUAAGAUAGCAACUGUGGCAAACAGUAGAAUCAUAUGUUCCUCUCUUUUUCAUUUUUAUAAAUAAUUAUUAUUUUACCAUUAUCAUUAUACUGUGUGAAGUGGCAGAAAGAAAUUUGAAGCAUCCAGCCCUUUUGGUAUGUUUCUGUAGCUUGAGAAAUCACAGAAGGAGAAGUGUUCUUUGAUGUGUAGGGUAAAGGUAAAGGUACUUUAUUGUCACAAACACAUGUCCGUUCAUCCAUCCAUCCAUCCAUCCAUCCAUCGUCAACCGCUUGGCUGGAGCCAAUCCCAGCUGACAUUGGGCGAAAGGCGGGGUACACCCUGGACAAGUCGCCAGUCCAUCGCAGGGCCACACACAUGUAGUGAAACUUAUUCUCUGCAUUUAACCCAUCACUCAAGGGCUGCCACUGUACAGCGCCCUAACAAGCCCUAACAAACAUUUGUGGUUGCUGAUAUGUGACAUUAUUCUGAUGAUCAUUUUGAAUGUACAGUAAAAGUGGUUAAAGUUUGUUGCUUUGGAACAUACUGAGAUCAGAGCUGAAAUUCUCAAAACUACUUGUUCCACCUCCACAUCAUCUAGUCACUUGUGCACAUGAUAAAAGCAAUUUCUCAUUCUUCUGAACAAAUUGCGAAUGAUUUGACACACUUAUGCAACUGUGUGCUGUUCCCUACAUUAUUGAUUGAUUUUCAUGUUGAUCACAAUGUAUUAUACUGGUUCUCUUUUAAAUAGUCUCACCCCCCAAAACAUCUAGAGAUAAGUUCAUUGCGUAACUCACUAUGUGCAAAAUGGUUGUCAAGCAUAUUUUCUAUACACGUCUUUUUUUGUAAGUGUGUCCUGAACUGAUGAAGAAAUCUUUUAUGACGUGGUUGAGAACCUGUGGCCCAACAGACAGGAAGUGAGGGGUGUUUCCCAUGUUUACAUUUCUAAUUUUGUAAUUGAUCCUGUUGUGUUACACAGUGCUGUAAAACAGUCUUGUCUUUUUCCUUUCUGUAUCGCAAUGAUAUGCUCUAUCAACAAAUGAAGGCACAAAUGUGAAUCAUGUCCAAUCUCUUGCAAUUAAUCUCCCAAAUACAGUAUUGUGUAACUUUGUACUGUUGAAAUUGAUAAAUGCCGUACAGAAAAAGUGCUGCCUUGUGUAUCAAAACCUCAGCCAUAGUUUACAUCUGAAAAUACUUACACUGUUAUAUUGGAAUCAUGGCUAAACAUUUUGACUAUCUUGUUUGUAAACAAUGACACAAGGACUUGUCAUUCUGAUAACACUGACAUGUUCGUUGACACAAAUAUUUACUUUUGAGAGAUAAACUAAGGAUUCUGAGCAAGUUACAGGCUUUUGCAGGUAAUCCAUUGUGUGAUUCUGCUUGAACAAACUGUUUUGAGAAAUGCACUUUCUGUUUUUCAAAUGUUACGGAUGAUUCGAGAAAUGUACCUAGUGACUAGAGAAAAACUGGCUGCUAGUUGGCCAUCAGCAUGAAGCAAACAACCACGAAUAAGAGCAAAAGUAUUUUAAGGUAGGACACUGGAUUUAAGUGGGUUUAAAGCCCAGUACAUUUGCAUGUGAGUGUUUUUCUCCUGUUCUGAAUUC